CGGAGUGGACGCAUCACUGGUGUUCGGGUUGUCAUGCCAAUGGCACUGCCCGGUAGCUAAAUGCGGAAGAGAUAAGUGCUGAAAGCAUCUAAGCACGAAACUUGCCCCGAGAUGAGUUCUCCCUGACCCUUUAAGGGUCCUGAAGGAACGUUGAAGACGACGACGUUGAUAGGCCGGGUGUGUAAGCGCAGCGAUGCGUUGAGCUAACCGGUACUAAUGAACCGUGAGGCUUAACCUUACAACGCCGAAG
rnacentral:rRNA from 1 species